GACGAACGCUGGCGGCGUGCUUAACACAUGCAAGUCGAACGGAAAGGCCCUGCUUUUGUAGGGUCCUCGAGUGCCGAACAGGGGUGUGUCACGUGAGUAACCUGCCCUUUACAUUGGGAUAACUUCAGGAAACUGGGGUGAUUACCGCGUAUGAGCUCCUGCUGCAUGAUGGUGGUGGUAAAGUUUCGCCGGUUUAGCAUGGACUCACGGCUUAUCGUCGUGUUGGUGGGGUAGUGGCUUACCAAGUCUCUGACGGGUAGCCGGCCUGAGACGGUGACCGGCCACAUAGGGAUUGAGAUACGGGCCAGACUGAAACGGGAGGCAGGAGUGGAAGAUAUAGCAAAAUGGGCGGAAGCCGGAAGCAGCGACGCCGCGUGCGGAAUGACUGCCUUCGGGGUGUAACCCGCUUUAGCCUGUGACGCAGAGUGAGUGACGGUAAUGGGUAAAGAAGCAACGGCUAACUACGUG
rnacentral:rRNA from 1 species